GGGCAGAGAGCAACAAAAAAACAUACAGCUUUAUGGGGACAAUCAGUCCUUGGUUUUGACCUGGAAGAUGCUAAGGUCUCGUCUGAGUCUCUUCUCCCUGUGGCUUUGAGGCUAAGCGGAGCACAGAGGAGCUGAUGAGGACGUCUUCAGAGAGAAGAGGCUGACUGAGGCACACAAACAACGGCAGCGAGGACACCUGUCCCCAAACUCCCAGGGCAGAGAUCCAUGUUGACAGUCCGUGAGACCCAUCACAUCACUGUCACAGCCCCGGGCCAGUCAGAACAGUGAUGGAGUGACUCCAGAGGGAGAGAGGGAACAAGAGAACGACAGAUCACAUCGGACUCAUCAGGAAAAGUGCUGUGACACGCUGUUCUGCUGGGGAUAGGAUGAGGGCGCCGGACAGAGGAUGAAC
rnacentral:lncRNA from 1 species